GAGUUUGAUUCUGGCUCAGGAUGAACGCUGGCGGCGUGCCUAACACAUGCAAGUCGAGCGCGGUUGUGCUUAGUAUUGAGUGUUUUAUUGAUAUAAAACAUUGAAUUCUAUGCACAACUGAGCGGCGGACGGGUGAGUAACGCGUGGGUAACCUGCCCUAUACACAUGGAUAACAUACUGAAAAGUUUACUAAUACAUGAUAAAAUAGUUUUUCGGCAUCGAAGAAUUAUCAAAGUGUUAGCGGUAUAGGAUGGACCCGCAUCUGAUUAGCUAGUUGGUGAGAUAACUGCCCACCAAGGCAACGAUCAGUAGCCGACCUGAGAGGGUGAUCGGCCACAUUGGAACUGAGACACGGUCCAAACUCCUACGGGAGGCAGCAGUGGGGAAUAUUGCACAAUGGGCGCAAGCCUGAUGCAGCAACGCCGCGUGAACGAUGAAGGUCUUCGGAUCGUAAAGUUUCUGUUGCAGGGGAAGAUA
rnacentral:rRNA from 1 species